GAGUUUGAUCGUGGCUCAGAUUGAACGCUGGCGGCAGGCCUAACACAUGCAAGUCGAGCGGUAGAGAGAAGCUUGCUUCUCUUGAGAGCGGCGGACGGGUGAGUAAUGCCUAGGAAUCUGCCUGGUAGUGGGGGAUAACGCUCGGAAACGGACGCUAAUACCGCAUACGUCCUACGGGAGAAAGCAGGGGACCUUCGGGCCUUGCGCUAUCAGAUGAGCCUAGGUCGGAUUAGCUAGUUGGUGAGGUAAUGGCUCACCAAGGCGACGAUCCGUAACUGGUCUGAGAGGAUGAUCAGUCACACUGGAACUGAGACACGGUCCAGACUCCUACGGGAGGCAGCAGUGGGGAAUAUUGGACAAUGGGCGAAAGCCUGAUCCAGCCAUGCCGCGUGUGUGAAGAAGGUC
rnacentral:rRNA from 1 species